AUUGAACGCUGGCGGCAUGCUUUACACAUGCAAGUCGAACGGCAGCGCGGGCUUCGGCCUGGCUGCGAGUGGCGAACGGGUGAGUAAUGCAUCGGAACGUGCCCAGUAGUGGGGGAUAGCCCGUCGAAAGCCGGAUUAAUACCGCAUACGACCUGAGGGUGAAAGCGGGGGACCGAAAGGCCUCGCGCUAUUGGAGCGGCCGAUGUCGGAUUAGCUAGUUGGUGGGGUAAAGGCUUACCUAGGCGACGAUCCGUAGCUGGUCGGAGAGGACGACCAGCCACACUGGGACUGGGACACGGACCAGAGGCCUACGGGAGGCAGCAGUGGGGAAUGUUGGACAAUGGGGGCAACCCUGAUCCAGCCAGGCCGCGUGCGGGAAGAAGGCCUUCGGGUUGUAAACCGCUUUUGUUCGGGAAGAAAUCCUCUGGGCUAAUACCCCGGGGGGAUGACGGUACCGGAAGAAUAAGCACCGGCUAACUACGUG
rnacentral:rRNA from 1 species